GACGAACGCUGGCGGCGCGCCUAACACAUGCAAGUCGAACGAGCGAGAGAGAGCUUGCUUUCUCGAGCGAGUGGCGAACGGGUGAGUAACGCGUGAGGAACCUGCCUCAAAGAGGGGGACAACAGUUGGAAACGACUGCUAAUACCGCAUAAGCCCACGACCCGGCAUCGGGUAGAGGGAAAAGGAGCAAUCCGCUUUGAGAUGGCCUCGCGUCCGAUUAGCUAGUUGGUGAGGUAACGGCCCACCAAGGCGACGAUCGGUAGCCGGACUGAGAGGUUGAACGGCCACAUUGGGACUGAGACACGGCCCAGACUCCUACGGGAGGCAGCAGUGGGGAAUAUUGCACAAUGGGGGAAACCCUGAUGCAGCGACGCCGCGUGGAGGAAGAAGGUCUUCGGAUUGUAGACUCCUGUUGUUGAGGAAGAUAAUGACGGUACUCAACAAGGAAGUGACGGCUAACUACGUG
rnacentral:rRNA from 1 species